UAACGCGAAGAACCUUACCCACCUUUGACAUGGCAGGAAGUUUCCAGAGAUGGAUUCGUGCUCGAAAGAGAACCUGCACACAGGUGCUGCAUGGCUGUCGUCAGCUCGUGUCGUGAGAUGUUGGGUUAAGUCCCGCAACGAGCGCAACCCUUGUCAUUAGUUGCUACAUUCAGUUGGGCACUCUAAUGAGACUGCCGGUGACAAACCGGAGGAAGGUGGGGAUGACGUCAAGUCCUCAUGGCCCUUAUAGGUGGGGCUACACACGUCAUACAAUGGCUGGUACAGAGGGUUGCCAACCCGCGAGGGGGAGCUAAUCCCAUAAAACCAGUCGUAGUCCGGAUCGCAGUCUGCAACUCGACUGCGUGAAGUCGGAAUCGCUAGUAAUCGCGGAUCAGCAUGCCGCGGUGAAUACGU
rnacentral:rRNA from 1 species